rnacentral:rRNA from 1 species
UACAGAGGGUGCGAGCGUUGUCCGGAAUCACUGGGCGUAAAGGGCUCGUAGGUGGCGGCCCAAGUCCAUGGUGAAAGCUCGAUGCUCAACAUCGAGUCGGCCACGGAUACUGGGUUGCUCGAGCACUGUAGGGGCAGAUGGAAUUCCCGGUGUAGCGGUGAAAUGCGUAGAGAUCGGGAAGAACAUCGGUGGCGAAAGCGCUCUACUGGACCGCAACUGACACUCAGGGACGAAAGCUAGGGGAGCGAAUGGG